UCCGGUUUGUCACCGGCAGUCACCUUAGAGUGCCCAACUAAAUGCUGGCAACUAAGAUCAAGGGUUGCGCUCGUUGCGGGACUUAACCCAACAUCUCACGACACGAGCUGACGACAACCAUGCACCACCUGUCACCACUGUCCCCGAAGGGAAAGGUAUAUCUCUAUACCGGGCAGUGGGAUGUCAAGACCUGGUAAGGUGGGGAUGACGUUCCAGUAUCGGAA
rnacentral:misc_RNA from 1 species